AUGGCCUCUGCCAGCAACAGCCUGGCUGUGACCGUCUGGCGUGGCCGGGCAGUGCUGUGCCUGCUGUGCAUCCCUACCCUGGCUGCAGCAGGGCUGGAGGCUCUGCUGGGCGCACGGCCGUGCUGCAGGGACCACAGGGACACUGCGUGGUUGCAGCCCCAUGCGUUGGACUGCCGGUGCGGUUCUCUGCUUGGCUUUAGCAGGACUCAGCUCUCUAUGGGAAGGGAAAACCCCGAUCAGCUGCAGCUUGAGUGGAUCUGCCUCAGAAACUCAUUUUCUCCUGAGCUCUCUGCUGAGAAGUCAUGGCAGUGCUUUCUGGAUGGUGCUUCACUUCUAAACCUGUGUGGAUCCUGCAGGGUAACGGAGUGUGUGCUCAUUCCUCAGCCUAGCUCCUUCGUCCCUCUCCCAUCCCAGGCGCUCCUUUGCCCCCCUCCUGCUCUGCCCCAUUGCUGUGUGUGACUGCAGUGAUGUUCCCUUUGGGCUCUGUGCUGCUGGAUGGGGUAGAGCCACAGAGGUUAAAUGCAGCUCUUUGUCAACUGCUGUUAUUGUUGUUCUUUUUGGUCUUAAAAUCAUGUAAGCAAGGCAUUACUGUGGUAUUUGUUACCAAACAUCGGGCUCAGUGCUGUGCAGCAGCUGAAGAUGAGCAGUGGCACUGGGGCAGCCCAGCGUGCCAGCACUGCGUUGUGCAGAACGAGCGUCAGCUGGAGAGCAGCAGGAGCUCUGCAGGAAUGCAGCAGUGCAGCAAUUUAUGCACUUAGCUGAGGCAGUGCAGCAGGAAUGGUCACGUUAAAAUCAUGCAUCCUGUCAUUACCUUUUCCUUUCAUUACCUUUUUUACCAUUACCAGUUCAUUACCUUUUCCUUUACUUGCCUAUUUACUGAGGAUCGGCCUGGAGCUGAUGCUGCAUGCAGCUGUGGGGUGUCAGCACUGCGUCCCUGCUAUGUUACAUGCAGAGCAGCAUGUGCCCUCAGCGGCUGUGCCACCACACGGCUCUGGGUGAGCAGAGGUGUGAGGUGGAGGAGGGAGAUGAUUGGAGUUUGUAUUACACAGCAUGCUUGUCGGAAGAGAAGUGAUCUGUAUUUAACAACAGCAGUGCAGUAAUAACCUACAAUUACCUCCGAGCGGUGCGGCGGGGGCGGCUCUGCUGCUGGAGGAGGCUGGCAUGGCAUGGAAUAGGAUGGCAUAGCAUGGCGUGUCUCUCACGAUGCGCAGAGCAUGGCACAGGGGCUGCUGGGCUGUGGGAGUGGUUCCUGUCUGCCUGGAGCUGGGAAGCCCCAUGCUAUGGCUGUGCCCUCCCCAGGGCAGAGCGGAGGAUCACUCCCCUGCUGUCCUGGCCACACGCUGUGCAAUGCACUGCAGGGUCCAUUUGCCCUUCUUGGUCACCAGGGUAUCGGACUGGUCUGCCUGUUGGCCACUGGCACCGGCAGGUCCUUCUCUGCAAAGCUCUUUUCCAGCAGCUC
rnacentral:lncRNA from 1 species